rnacentral:rRNA from 1 species
UACAGAGGGUGCGAGCGUUACUCGGAAUUACUGGGCGUAAAGCGUGCGUAGGUGGUUUGUUAAGUCUGUUGUGAAAGCCCCGGGCUCAACCUGGGAAUGGCAAUGGAUACUGGCAAGCUAGAGUGCGGUAGAGGGUAGUGGAAUUCCCGGGUGUAGCGGUGAAAUGCGUAGAGAUCGGGAGGAACACCUGUGGCGAAGGCGGCCGACUGGGCCGACCCUGACGCGUGAGGCGACGGAAGGCGUGGGGGAGCGAACGGG